rnacentral:rRNA from 1 species
GGAUAACCUUGCGAAAGUAAGACUAAUACCCAAUGAUAUCUCUAGAAGACAUCUGAAAGAGAUUAAAGAUUUAUCGGUGAUGGAUGGGGAUGCGUCUGAUUAGCUUGUUGGCGGGGUAACGGCCCACCAAGGCAACGAUCAGUAGGGGUUCUGAGAGGAAGGUCCCCCACAUUGGAACUGAGACACGGUCCAAACUCCUACGGGAGGCAGCAGUGAGGAAUAUUGGUCAAUGGACGAGAGUCUGAACCAGCCAAGUAGCGUGCAGGAAGACGGCCCUAUGGGUUGUAAACUGCUUUUAUAAGGGAAUAAAGUUAGUCUCGUGAGACUUUUUGCAUGUACCUUAUGAAUAAGGACCGGCUAAUUCCGUGCCAGCAGCCGCGGUAAUACGGAAGGUCCGGGCGUUAUCCGGACUUAUUGGGUUUAAAGGGAGCGUAGGCCGGAGAUUAAGCGUGUUGUGAAAUGUAGACGCUCAACGUCUGCACUGCAGCGCGAACUGGUUUCCUUGAGUACGCACAAAGUGGGCGGAAUUCGUGGUGUAGCGGUGAAAUGCUUAGAUAUCACGAAGAACUCCGAUUGCGAAGGCAGCUCACUGGAGCGCAACUGACGCUGAAGCUCGAAAGUGCGGGUAUCGAACAGGAUUAGAUACCCUGGUAGUCCGCACGGUAAACGAUGGAUGCCCGCUGUUGGUCUGAAUAGGUCAGCGGCCAAG